UGUGGUGUUUAGGUUAAUUUUGAGUGUUUUAAGUGGUUUGAGUGUGAGAUCUUUUGUGUGUGUGUGUGUGUGUUUGAGGUGUUAGUGUACAUAGGGUAUUUCCAGUGAGUUUUGUGCGUGUCUGUUGGUAUUUUGGGGUGUUGCAUAUGUUAAGUGUAUUUUUUUUAGGUUAUUUUUGUGUAUUUAAAGUGUUUUGGGUGUGGGAGCGGUGCUAGGUGUGGGUGUGGUUAGGCGAGUGUAUGUGGGUCUUCUGAGUGUUAUUAUGAAAAUAUUUUUUCAUUUUUAUUUUUUGUAUAAGUGCAUACAUACAUAUAGUCUAGGUUAAAUUCAUACAUACUGACGGACAGAUAUUGAUAUUUCCCUUGAAAAAUUCCUUGAUAAUGCUGGAUAUCCUUAAAUUUCUCUCGUCAAGAUUCGUAGCAAUCCUUAAAAAAUCCUUCUGUAUCACAAAUUUGCUUAAAAGUAGAAACACUGCCUUAUACUCGAAACUAUUGCUGGAAAUCAUGGGAACCAAGGAUGUUGAAUCUAACCUCCCCGGGAAGUACAUCCCCACCGCACGCUGAUAGGGAAUUAUACAAUACUUUUUCCUUGGCAAGUUUUACCUUAUGAUACAUGUAAUUAUAUUUGAAAUUGUGCAAUAAAAGUGUAGGAAGAUUAUUGAUUGAUCUUCUUACAUUUGAUUAGUCCUUAUGGAAGAAAAUACAGUCCCGAAUGUGAGAUUUAGAAAUAGGUGGCGGGACUGGCGGCGCCGCGAAGGGUAAACAAACUGGUUGGUGUGUGUCUAUGGUGUUUCCAUGCUCCUGAGAGACGGCCGGUAGUCUGAGAAGGUCAAGGAUGAGUAGCCGUGGCUUACAAGAGUUGCUGCAGCAGGCGGAGCAGCUGGCCAGCAACCUCAAUGGUGGCGGAGAACUGCCACGCGUUGACCGGUCACUGCAGCAGAUCCUUCACACUGGACAGCAGCUUUGGUCCAGAGCCUCGGCACAGACCACCUCAGCCAACGAUGCACAGGCGUGAGUACUGCUGCCCUGUUUCUUAUGAAGGCGAGAAGGAAGAUAUAAAGUACAAUUAGAAUG